rnacentral:rRNA from 1 species
AAUAAGGGCAUCCUUAGUACGGCGAGUGAAGCGGGAAGAGCUCAAAUUUGAAAUCUUCAAGGUUUUACCUUGACGAAUUGUAGUUUAAAGAAGUGUUUUCUGUUGAAGUUUUGGUAAAAGUUCUUUGGAAUAGGACAUCAUAGAGGGUGAGAAUCCCGUAUUUGACCAUUAUUUUCAGCUGUGUGAUACACUUUCAAAGAGUCGGAUUGUUUGGGAAUGCAGUCCAAAAUGGGUGGUAAAUUUCAUCUAAAGCUAAAUAUUGGCGAGAGACCGAUAGCGAACAAGUACCGUGAGGGAAAGAUGAAAAGAACUUUGAAAAGAGAGUUAAACAGUACGUGAAAUUGUCAAAAGGGAAGCGUUUGACACCAGUGUUGUUUUCUCGAAAAUCAAUUAAAAAGAGUUGGAUUUUGUGUUGUAUUGACCUUAACAGCUUGCUUCACUCUUUUCCAGCUUUUUUUAAUGCACUUUUCGUUUAACAAGUCAACAUCAGUUUCUUUUGUUGUAAAAGGGUCAUUGGAAGGUGGCUUUCUCUUCGGAGAAAGUGUUUAUAGCCUUUGAUCUCUGCAAUCGGAGAGACUGAGGUCUGCAGCGUAGAUCCUUCGGGGUUAGAUACAUUUGUGCUAAGCUACAGCUUUUCAUAGACAACUUGUUGACUAUGUUUAGUCUUGUGACUUACCCGCUUAUGCUAUUUUACCUACGCUUAGGAUGUUGACAAAAUGGUUUUAAACGACCCG